rnacentral:pre_miRNA from 1 species
AAUAACUUCAACUUUCAAUUUUUUUAUCAAUGUUUUGACUCGUCGUCUUAUUUGAAAUUUUUUGCGAUUAAUAUUUUUAUUGUUACUAGAUGAUAAAAUAUGAAUAUUAUUUUAUGCGUGACUAAUUUUUUAAGUUUUUGUACAAAUUUUUCAAAUAAGACGAAUGGUCAAACGUUGGACAUGGAAAAACA